rnacentral:rRNA from 1 species
AUUGAACGCUGGCGGCAUGCCUUACACAUGCAAGUCGAACGGUAACAGGUCUUCGGAUGCUGACGAGUGGCGAACGGGUGAGUAAUACAGCGGAACGUGCCUAGUAGUGGGGGAUAACUACUCGAAAGAGUGGCUAAUACCGCAAGAGAUCUACGGAUGAAAGCAGGGGAUCGAAAGACCUUGUGCUACUAGAUCGGCCGAUGGCAGAUUAGGUAGUUGGUGGGAUAAAAGCUUACCAAGCCGACGAUCUGUAGCUGGUCUGAGAGGACGAUCAGCCACACUGGGACUGAGACACGGCCCAGACUCCUACGGGAGGCAGCAGUGGGGAAUUUUGGACAAUGGGCGAAAGCCUGAUCCAGCAAUGCCGCGUGCAGGAUGAAGGCCUUCGGGUUGUAAACUGCUUUUGUACGGAACGAAAAGCCCUGGGUUAAUACCCUGGGGUCAUGACGGUACCGUAAGAAUAAGCACCGGCUAACUACGUGCCAGCCGCCGCGGUAACAC